rnacentral:misc_RNA from 1 species
GAUGAAGAACGUAGCGAAAUGCGAUAAGUAAUGUGAAUUGCAGAAUUCAGUGAAUCAUCGAAUCUUUGAACGCACAUUGCGCCCCCUGGUAUUCCGGGGGGCAUGCCUGUCCGAGCGUCAUUACAACCCUCAAGCUCAGCUUGGUAUUGGGCCUCGCCGCUCCGGCGGGCCCUAAAGUCAGUGGCGGUGCCGUCCGGCUCCGAGCGUAGUAAUUCUUCUCGCUCUGGAGGUCCGGUCGUGUGCUCGCCAGCAACCCCCAAUUUUUUUCAGGUUGACCUCGGAUCAGGUAGGGAUACCCGCUGAACUUAAGCAUAUCAAUAAGCGGAGGA